rnacentral:tRNA from 1 species
ACUCUACUAGGAUGAUGCACAGGAAAAGGAC